GUGCGCUCUCCUCCCUCGCCCCUUUCUUCCCUCUCUCCUCUCUCUCUCUCCCUCCAUCCCUCUCUUUCCUUCUCAGUUUGUGACUGACCCAGCAGCCCCGUCCCCCGUCUGCCACAAGCAGUCCACCUCCUGGUGCUGUGUGCUGCGUGCCAGCCGCUGCUCCCGCUGAGUGGAGACUCUGGCACCAGUGCCCACUGCGCUCUGCCUGCCGGUGGUGUCUGGAUUUCUAUAGGAAUCCCAGGAGGGUCUUACUGGAGGGUUGAGAGCCACCUGAUUGAAGGCGUUUGCAGUCAGAGUAAAGACGGGGGGACGCUUGGACCAGCUUGCCUGCACCCUGCCCAAGGAGCUGAGGGGGAAGGACAUGCGGAUGGUCCCCAUGGAGAUGUUCAACUACUGCUCCCAGCUGGAGGACGAGAAUAGCUCAGCUGGGCUGGAUAUUCCUGGGCCACCCUGCACCAAGGCCAGUCCAGAGCCUGCUAAGCCCAAGCCCGGGGCUGAGCCGGAGCCGGAGCCCAGCACAGCCUGCCCACAGAAGCAGAGGCACCGGCCGGCGAGCGUGAGGCGAGCCAUGGGCACGGUGAUCAUUGCAGGGGUCGUGUGCGGCGUCGUCUGCAUCAUGAUGGUGGUGGCCGCUGCCUAUGGCUGCAUCUACGCCUCCCUCAUGGCCAAGUACCACCGGGAGCUCAAAAAGCGCCAGCCCCUGAUGGGGGACCCCGAGGGCGAGCACGAGGACCAGAAGCAGAUCUCUUCUGUGGCCUGAGCGCCCAUCCCCACCCGGCCAGGUAGGAAGGGCGGGGAGAGCACACGGCAUUGCUCAGCCACAGCUCCCACCUUGACCCGGCGCUGGCCACUGCCUCCCCGAGUCCACCCUCCUCCCCGCCCUCCAGCAGACAAGCCACACCGGGUUCUCUCCCUGCACUUUCGAGGCUCCCUGAAAGCCACCGUGCUGGGGGCUCCUGCUGAUGCUCCUGUCUGGGCCAGUAAAUCUUUGGAACAUGUGGGGGAUCUCCCUAAGCUCUGGCCACAGCAAAGCAAGGAGGUGUGUGCAAGAGGAGGCUUCCGGACUGGGCAUUCCCCUGUCGCCCUUCCUGCCCUGGGGUGGCCAUAGCUGGUGACUCUUCCUACCUUGCUGGUCCCACCUCACCUGCAUUGAGGGGACGGGGAGGGAGGGAUCUGAGGGAUGAAGGUAGAUUUCUGAGACUCUCUCCUAAGCCAGAAAGACGUUCUUAACACCCCUGCAGUGUGAAAGCUGGUCCAGCUCUACAACUGUUGGUACCAAUGUGCAAACACACCAGCCCUGCCAUCUGGACCCAGCACUCAGAAACACCAUACACCCCUGGCCGACGCCAUCAUGCCCCUGGAUCUGCUAUAGGCCACACUGACCACAUGCUCCUGGAUUCGCUAAUUCACUCACACACCCAUUGCAUCACCAGUGCGGUCACAUGGAUUGAAAGAAUUAAUACACACACACACACACACACACUCACACGGUCACACGGAGACCGAGGCUAUGAGCGCUCGAACAGCAGAGACAUGCUCUUCCCCAGGGGUCUCCCUGAGACCACAGAGCCUCUCGCGUGCUCACUGCAAUCUUCUCAAGUCAACAGCAGGAAGGAACUCAACCAGUAACACCAGGAUCCUUUGAGAUCCUCUAAAGUGGGCCAAAGUGGUGCCCCUGGAGGAGCCCUCCUGUCACCAUGGUAACCCUCUCACACCUCUCCUGCUGGGCUUUCCCGGGAUACCACCCAGGGGCCUGGAGCGGCUGCAUGUGUGCAUGGCGGCCUCCUGAGGACCCAGCCACACACCACUGGUGUUGCCUCGGUCCUGCCCACGCAUCUCACAGCACCAGGCCCUGUGGGGCCCCCACUGAUUCCUCCACAGCCUGCAGCCUGGCACCGUGACUCUGUGCCUCUCGCCCUCCAUCUUCAGUACUCCUGGCCUGUGACUUCAGGGCUGGGACUUGGUGGUGCUUUGCCAUUGGUGGCACCCUCUGGGGAAAGCAGGUGGCAGGCAGAGAACACGGUGGCUCCCCUGAGGCUCAUUGCCUGCCAGCUUAUUGCAGACAGAGCCCAGGAGCAGGAGCGGGUGGCCACGUGCUGCCCAGAGGCUCCCAGGAUGGGGCCUCUGUUCCCGGGCUUUGUCUGCUCAGUGUGGCUCCCUAGAGCACCCAGCCGGGGCCAAACCAGAGAGUGGGUGGGGAGCCUGUCUGGGACAGAGCCACCUGCUGCCAAGGCAGUGCAAGUUUUCCAGGUUACCUGUCCCCCUCCCUAGCUCUGCCCCUCCUCAGAGUGUGAAGAUGGUGGGUACCUAGGUGUCAUGCUCACAGGCUCAGGAGGCAUCAGGCUCGUCCCUGGCUCUGGGAUGGAAUCUCGAUGGGGGCUCAGGAAGAGGCCAGCAAGAACCCUGAAGCCAAGGGUCUGAGCAGAGGGAGUUGGCAGGCCUAGCUCCUGUGCCCCACUCCGACCCUCCCUGCUCAUGCGGCAGUGGGUGGGUGAGGUGGGCUGGGGGCCUGGAGGAGUGCCUUUGAGGAGGUCAGUCCUGGCAGGUGGACAGAGGACGCCUGGCAUGGGCUGCUUACUGGGACCCCAGGCGGCCCUGGCCAUGGCCACAGUCUUCCUUCUUUUGGCGUGUGGGCUGGUACCAGAUCUGGGGAUUUUCUAAAGGGACUGGGGGGAGGGGAGGGCAUUGUCAAUGGUGGUAUCUUUAGCCUGAGACAGAAGAUUUUUAAAGGCAAAAUUAUAUUUCUGGUUUGUUGUUUCAGAAGACCAAUAAAGACUGUAUUUUCCU
rnacentral:misc_RNA from 1 species